UAUAGGAAAUGGGAGUAUUAAUAGCAUCAGAUUAUACCGUUUAUGACAAUUAUGCUAUUGUAUACCAAUACUUAUUUUUUUAAUAGCGUCUAUCUGUUUAAAACGCUAUAUUUGUUAUCGCGGGAAAACAAAAAAAUUAGGCGCAUUAAUUUUCUAAGUGAGGCUCCAACACUAAGAAAAAAUAAAUAUUUUGCCACCAGAACAGUUUUCAGAUUCACCGAAAUGGCUUUGUAUUGUUUUUCGGUUAAAAAAAAGGCUUUGUAUUGUUUCUCAGAAUCAUAAACUGAAGUCUCUUUCUCCAAUCUCUCUCGCGAAAUCAUCGUCUCUUCAUCUCCAUCUCUCCUCCGUCGUGUUUGCCGGUCAGUUUUUUCAUGGCUGCCACCGGACAAACCUCCAAUCUUCGUCGUUCACUUUAUCUUUUUAAGUUUGUCAUGAUUUGGGAUUUUUAGGUUUGGGUUUCGAUUUGCCUUGACUAUCUGUUUCUAGGUCCACACAUGUCUCACCGAACUUUAUACCGUCGAAUCCUCCUCUCCCUCACCGCCGUCACUCCUCACUUCCUUGCCUCACCUUCAGAUCUGCCGUCACCUCCGUUGGUUACAGAGAAGCAGCAGUUCCUGGAGCGUUUCGACUUCACCAAUUCAUCCUCUCGGGGGCAAUCGAGUUUUGACGAGUUUUGUCCGAUUUGGUGAAGACUUGGAGUUGGGAAAAGUAGUUUUUUGAGAAGCAGUGUUGGGAGUGGUCAUGAACUUGUAACGGGUCCACACAAAAACAAGAAGAAAGAAGGAUACGUAAUUCAUCGAGAACAUCUCAUGUUUGUAAGUUUCAGAUAUAAUUCUCCAAGAACAGCUUGCUAGUUUCUAAGUCUGGCCGGAAGACAAUGAUCAUGGUUUUUUUCUCUCAUCUUCCAUAUCUCAAUUUGAUAAUUUAAUACUUUUCCAAGUCUUAGAAACACCAAAGUCUCUGUCUUUGCUAUGUUCUUGGCUAAAGUUUAUCUUUUUGCCCUGUUUUUGGCUAAAGUUGGCUUUUCCAUGUGCUUGUUUCACCUCUAUGCUCUAUAUAAUUUGAAGUCUUUGAGAAGCAAAGAGAUGUAGAUUACAGGGAGAACCGCUGAUAUGAUGAACGAAGUGAUUAUGCUGGUGGUUUGAAAGCUGGGAGUAGGAGUGAAUUCAUGGAAAGGGAUGAGAGAAAUAAGUUUCUGGGUUACAAUAAGGUUCUGCAAGAGCAGGAAAAGGCAUUAUGUGGAACAGUAUACUAACAAUGAAUAUGUUCAAGAUGGUAAACUAAUAUGUACUUGUACGUCUUUGUUUACACUAGUUUUAGGAAAAUCAGUUGUAACAAACGCAAUGAACAAGUCCUCAUCGAAGGAAGACACUUGGAAAUACAUUUUUUUUUUAAAGGGCGAGGGUCAUGCUUUAUGUAAUCACGACCAUUUGUUGAAUUUUUUAAAGGGUCAAGAUUCAUUCUGCUUCUUCCUCUCUCUCUCGUCUCUUUUUCUCAGAUUCUUCAUCCAAUUUUGGAAGAGUUACAGACUCACAAAUCUCAUCUUCAUCCCUCUCGUAUCUCCAAUUUUUUGAAGUCAUCGUCACUACCCCAAACCUCCUCCAUCGCCUCUGUCUCUCAAUAUUCUUUUCCACUCAACACUACAGAUCCAUGUCUAUCAUAGUCACAACCACCAUCACCAUAACCUCCAACGCCCCCAUCUCUAUCUCCUCGUUCUCUGCCUCCGUCAGUGAAGCUGUCUCAACCACAAUCACCAUAACCUCAGCCGCUGCCGCCAUCAUCUUCAUCUCCACCUCCUCGUUUUCUACUCCGUCAUCGAACUCUGUCUCAACCACUCUUUUUAUCUAUCCUCUUAUCAAAGCUUCUUCUUUUCCAGAUGCAUAUUGAUGGUCUUAGUUAACAACAACCGUAUCUCAGAUUUGUUUUAUGUUCCUUUUUUUUGCUUUGAGAUUUUUGAAUGAUUAGUCUUGUUUGACAAGAUUGGAACUUAAUUAAAUGGGGAUUUGACUUCAUGGACAGGGAAGAGGAAGUGGAAUUGAUAAUGGGGCUGGUGGUUGUUCUUGUUCCCGUAGUGCACAACAUUGAUAGGAAGAAGCCGGAUAUGAAGAAGCUGUGAUGGUGGAGAUGGAGCAGAGCAAGAAGAAGAAGAAAAGAAAGAUGGAGGAGGAGGUGCGACAAAACAAGACGAUGGAAAGAAGGAAGCGGCGUAGAUUAGGUUCACUUUUGGUUGGUUUAUUUGGUUUGGUUUAGAUAGUUUUAGUUUAAUAAAUAAGGUUUGUGUGUAAACCAAUGUUCAUAAAUAAACAAAUAUUAAUUGUAAACCAUUAUUUGUGUACAUUGAUCUUAAUAAAUAAAUAAAAUUUAAUUUUUAAUUA